UACUCAAGUGGCGAACGGGUGAGUAACACGUGGGUGAUCUGCCCUGCACUUCGGGAUAAGCCUGGGAAACUGGGUCUAAUACCGGAUAGGAGCCAUUUUUAGUGUGAUGGUUGGAAAGUUUUUUCGGUGUAGGAUGAGCUCGCGGCCUAUCAGCUUGUUGGUGGGGUAAUGGCCUACCAAGGCGGCGACGGGUAGCCGGCCUGAGAGGGUGGACGGCCACAUUGGGACUGAGAUACGGCCCAG
rnacentral:rRNA from 1 species